rnacentral:rRNA from 1 species
GUCUACGGCCAUACCACCCUGAAUGCGCCCGAUCUCGUCUGAUCUCAGAAGCUAAGGAGGGUCGGGCCUGGUUAUUUGGAUGGGAGGAAUUGAUUCAUGCAAUUACAGAGGCUGAGAAGUCCAAGAUCUGCAGUCA